rnacentral:lncRNA from 1 species
UCCACUCUAAGCUAUUACAGAUCUCUUUACUUUUCCUGUACUCUGCUGGACUGUCCCUGUACACUGUACACUGAACCUGCAAAACUGGGGUUAAGGGAGUGGGAUGAGCUCUAUAGCCCAGUGAGUAGAACAGUAAAACAUCUCAGUAAAAUAUGAUCUCAUGGAAUGCACCAUAUCACAGACAAGCCACAUCAAGAGUAAACCUGCACCACAUAGUCCCAGUAACUCUGUGCCAGGGCGUAGUCAAAGGCUCCUGGACUUCCUGUCAUAUAUGUAUAUGUGUAUAUAACACCAUUGUACUUACCAUUGCCAGGGCGUAGUCAAAGGCUCCUGAACUUUACUAUAUACCUGCCAGGGCGUAGUCAUAGGCUCCUGGACUUUACUAUACCUGCCAGGGCGUAGUCAAAGGCUCCUGGACUUCCUGUCUGAGACUAUUGGAUCAUUCAGCAUUCACUCACAUCAUCAAAUAACGAUGCAAUGCAACAUAUUCGUGAAUACUAAUGCAAUCAUCCUAUGGCAUAAACAUGAUGCAUGAGAUAUGCUCAAAAGCAGUUUGUAGUUCAAUU